UACGUAGGGGGCAAGCGUUGUCCGGAUUUAUUGGGCGUAAAGAGCUCGUAGGCGGUCUGUUACGUCUGCUGUGAAAACCCAGGGCUUAACCCUGGGCUUGCAGUGGAUACGGGCAGACUGGAGGCAGGUAGGGGAGAAUGGAAUUCCCGGUGUAGCGGUGAAAUGCGCAGAUAUCGGGAGGAACACCGGUGGCGAAGGCGGUUCUCUGGGCCUGACCUGACGCUGAGGAGCGAAAGCGUGGGGAGCGAACAGG
rnacentral:rRNA from 1 species